ACCGCCCUCUUUCUUCAUUCCUAACACAUGCAAGUCGAGCGAGCAUUUCGGUGCUAGCGGCGGACGGGUGAGUAACGCGUGGGAACGUGCCCUUUUCUGCGGAAUAGUCCUGGGAAACUGGGGGUAAUACCGCAUACGCCCUUUUGGGGAAAGAUUUAUCGGAGAAGGAUCGGCCCGCGUUGGAUUAGGUAGUUGGUGGGGUAAUGGCCCACCAAGCCGACGAUCCAUAGCUGGUUUGAGAGGAUGAUCAGCCACACUGGGACUGAGACACGGCCCAGACUCCUACGGGAGGCAGCAGUGGGGAAUCUUAGACAAUGGGGGCAACCCUGAUCUAGCCAUGCCGCGUGAGUGAUGAAGGCCUUAGGGUUGUAAAGCUCUUUCAGCUGGGAAGAUAAUGACGGUACCAGCAGAAGAAGCCCCGGCUAACUCCGUG
rnacentral:rRNA from 1 species